rnacentral:rRNA from 1 species
AGAGUUUGAUUAUGGCUCAGGAUGAACGCUGGCGGCGUGCUUAACACAUGCAAGUCGAACGAAGCACUUCAGGAGCGAUUUCGGUCAAUCCUGAUUUGACUGAGUGGCGGACGGGUGAGUAACGCGUGAGGAACCUGCCUCGCAGUGGGGAAUAACAGCUGGAAACGGCUGCUAAUACCGCAUAAUGCAGAGAGACCGCAUGAUUUUUCUGCCAAAGAUUUAUCGCUGUGAGAUGGCCUCGCGUCUGAUUAGCUAGUUGGUGAGGUAACGGCCCACCAAGGCGACGAUCAGUAGCCGGACUGAGAGGUUGAUCGGCCACAUUGGGACUGAGACACGGCCCAG